GAUGAACGCUGGCGGCGUGCCUAAUACAUGCAAGUCGAGCGAACAGGCGAUGAUCUUGCGGCUCUCACGUGAGGCGCGGGCGGGUGAGUAACACGUGUAUAACCUACCUAUAAGAGUGGUAUAACUUCGAGAAACCGGAGCUAAUACCGGAUGAUAUAUUGAUCCACAUGGUUGAAUAGUGAAAUACGGUUGUUCUGUCACUUCUAGAUGGAUCCGCGCCGCAUUAGCUGGUUGUUAAGGUAACGGCUUAGUAAGGCAAGGAUGCGUAGACGACGUGUGAGGGUGGUAGGCGACCCUGGAAGUGAGACGCGGUCAAGAGUACUACGGGAGGCCGCAGUAGCGAAUGUUACGCAACGGGCGAAAGUUUGGCGGAGCAACGCAGAGUGAGUGAUGAAGGUCCUCGGAUCGUAAAACUGUGUUAUUGGGGAAAAACAAAUGUGUAAGUAACUAAGCACGUAUUGACGGUACCUAGUAAGAAAGCAACGGCUAACUACGUG
rnacentral:rRNA from 1 species